CUACACAUACUUCAGCUACCGAGACAACCCGUCAACCAUCUCCCUCCCUUACGCGCUCCUCUCCUCCCAGUCCGUGUCCGUGUGGGACAACGGCCUCGGCUACACCAACCUCUUCGACGCGAUGCUCGACUCGCUCUACUCGGCCGUGGAGCGCCUGGGAGGGUGGUCCGUGGAGGUGGUGGUGUCCGAGAGCGGGUGGCCCUCGGCCGGAGCAGGGGCCGCGACCACGAUGGAGAACGCGCGCGUGUUCUACACGAACUUGGUCCAGCAGGUGAAGCGCGGGAGCCCCAAGAGGCCCAAUAAGG
rnacentral:lncRNA from 1 species